UUUGCGGUGGCCUUGGCCCAGGGGAGACGCCCGGUCCCAUUCCGAACCCGGUAGCUAAGCCCUGGCACGGCGAUGGUACUGCACCUGGUAGGGUGCGGGAGAGUAGCACGCUGCCGCUU
rnacentral:rRNA from 1 species